ensembl:lncRNA
AAAAGACAAAGGGAGAUACUUUACAUUGGUUCUACAUUGUUUAUUGAACAACAUAACUAUAAUAAUUCAGACAUUUGAUUAUUCUGGGGUUUUUUUUAGACUCGACUUGAGUUGAAAAAACGCCCAGAGAGUGAUUUUGAUAAUCCGGCUCGUGGAGGUUUGAUUGACAGAUUUGGAUGUCACUGCUGGCUGACACGAAGUUCCCGGUGGCGGUUAGUAUAUCUGGCAAUCCGGGAGAAAACGUGUCAUUCUGCAGCGACAUCAAUACAAUUUCUCCCCUUAAAAGUGUGAAAUGAAUGAACAGCACCAAAUCGACUUAAAGGGAAGCGAAUAAAAGCAGAAGCUUGUGAAGUUGAAAAGCAAUGCGUACAAGCUUGAAGAAAACGAAAGGGGAAUACUCGUACCGGUGAAUAAAAGAGACACGACAAGAGAAUAACUUUCAAACAACAAACGAAAGAAAACAGAUGUCAAGAGUAACAAGCUAAGCAACACGUACACCGCGUAGAAAUAUCACAUUUAAAAGUGGCAAGAGAGUUACCUUGAAGGCACAACAACUCUUACCCGUCCUGGCCAUUCUCACUUCUCCC